rnacentral:rRNA from 1 species
UGGGGAAUAUUGCACAAUGGGCGCAAGCCUGAUGCGGCAACGCCGCGUGAGGGACGACGGCCUUCGGGUUGUAAACCUCUUUUAGCAGGGAAGAAGCGAAAGUGACGGUACCUGCAGAAAAAGCACCGGCUAACUACGUGCCAGCAGCCGCGGUAAUACGUAGGGUGCAAGCGUUAUCCGGAAUUAUUGGGCGUAAAGAGCUCGUAGGCGGUUUGUCGCGUCUGCUGUGAAAACCCGAGGCUCAACCUCGGGCCUGCAGUGGGUACGGGCAGACUAGAGUGCGGUAGGGGGAGAUUGGAAUUCCUGGUGUAGCGGUGGAAUGCGCAGAUAUCAGGAGGAACACCGAUGGGCGAAGGCAGAUCUCUGGGCCGUAACUGACGCUGAGGAGCGAAAGGGUGGGGAGCAAACAGGCUUAGAUACCCUGGUAGUCCACCCCGUAAACGUUGGGAACUAGUUGUGGGGUCCAUUCCACGGAUUCCGUGACGCAGCUAACGCAUUAAGUUCCCCG